GAUGAACGCUGGCGGCGUGCCUAAUACAUGCAAGUCGAGCGAACAGACGAGGAGCUUGCUCCUCUGACGUUAGCGGCGGACGGGAGAGUAACACGUGGAUAACCUACCUAUAAGACUGGGAUAACUUCGGGAAACUGGAUCUAAUACCGUAUAAUAUAUUGAUCCGUAUGGUUCAAUAGUGAAAUACGGUUUUGUUGUUACUUAUAGAUGGAUCCGCGCCGCAUUAGCUAGUUGGUAAGGUAUCGGCUUACCAAGGCAACGAUGCGUAGCCGACCUGAGAGGGUGAUCGGCCACACUGGAACUGAGACACGGUCCAGACUCCUACGGGAGGCAGCAGUAGGGAAUCUUCCGCAAUGGGCGAAAGCCUGACGGAGCAACGCCGCGUGAGUGAUGAAGGUCUUCGGAUCGUAAAACUCUGUUAUUAGGGAAGAACAAAUGUGUAAGUAACUAUGCACGUCUUGACGGUACCUAAUCAGAAAGCCACGGCUAACUACGUG
rnacentral:rRNA from 1 species